CCUACGGGGGGCAGCAGUGGGGAAUAUUGGACAAUGGGCGAAAGCCUGAUCCAGCCAUGCCGCGUGAGUGAUGAAGGCCUUAGGGUUGUAAAGCUCUUUCAGUGGGGAAGAUAAUGACGGUACCCACAGAAGAAGCCCCGGCUAACUUCGUGCCAGCAGCCGCGGUAAUACGAAGGGGGCUAGCGUUGUUCGGAUUUACUGGGCGUAAAGCGCACGUAGGCGGAUCGUUAAGUCGGGGGUGAAAUCCUGGAGCUCAACUCCAGAACUGCCUUCGAUACUGGCGAUCUUGAGUCCGGAAGAGGUGAGUGGAACUCCUAGUGUAGAGGUGGAAUUCGUAGAUAUUAGGAAGAACACCAGUGGCGAAGGCGGCUCACUGGUCCGGUACUGACGCUGAGGUGCGAAAGCGUGGGGAGCAAACAGGAUUAGAUACCCUUGUAGUC
rnacentral:rRNA from 1 species